UGAUGACUCAUCGCCUUCUGGAAUAAGUGCAUGAGAAGGAAAACAACCCCAUGUGAUAUAGGGUAGUUUACAUUCUGCAUACUAAGCUGAGACAAGGAGGAACAAUUUCAAGAAAUUCAAGUAGAGAAGCUAUUCUUUAUCUUGAAAAAUUGAUGGUUCCCACUCCUACUAAUAGACUAAAGGCAGCCCUCUGGACAGAUGCUCCUAGCCAGCCACUCACUUUGAAGCCUCAUAUCUGGAUCCUGAUUUCAUAUGUAUAGUGGAAACUUGACUUUGACUCUGCUAAAAGGUAAUGCAACGAUCUUGAAGGAGUGGACGGUGUGGCUGGAGUGUCAGGGGCUCAGAGGAUGGACACAUAUGAGGAACGAACAUCAUUUCUGUGAACAUCUACUUCUAUACCUCAAGCUACUAGCAUAUACACCGGAUAUUUUUUCCAAGUUCUUUUUUUUUUUAUCAUGUCUUAUUCAUCGUAUUCACUGUCCCAUCAAUAAAAAUUCUUUGAAUCUAU
rnacentral:lncRNA from 1 species